rnacentral:lncRNA from 1 species
GAGGAUAUGGUAGAUGAGAAAGUUCAGAGUGGGUUGGAGAAGCUAAAAAACAAACUUGAUGCAACAAUAAUGAAGGUAGAGUAUCUCAGGGCUACAAAUGAGGAUUUGAAGCUACAGUUGAGUGAAUUACAAAUUCAAAUGAAGAAGAUGAUGAAAUGGGAAAAAAUUUGGAAGAUCAUAUUUUGUAUUGUUUUAGGUGUUAUGGUAUUUAGA